rnacentral:rRNA from 1 species
CCUACGGGUGGCAGCAGUGGGGGAUAUUGCACAAUGGGGGAAACCCUGAUGCAGCGACGCCGCGUGUGGGAAGACGGUCCUCUGGAUUGUAAACCACUGUCCCCAGGGACGAAGAUGACGGUACCUGGGGAGGAAGCUCCGGCUAACUACGUGCCAGCAGCCGCGGUAAUACGUAGGGAGCGAGCGUUGUCCGGAAUUACUGGGUGAAAAGGGAGCGUAGGCGGGGAUGCAAGUUGGGUGUCAAAACUACCGGCUCAACUGGUAGUCGCACUCAAAACUGCAGCUCUUGAGGGAAGUAGAGGCAGGCGGAAUUCCUAGUGUAGCGGUGAAAUGCAUAGAUAUCACGAAGAACUCCGAUUGCGAAGGCAGCAUACCGGCUCCAUACUGACGCUGAGGCACGAAAGCGUGGGGAUCGAACAGGAUUAGAUACCCCAGUAGUC